UUUUUCUAGGUUCAAAAUGAAGUAGCUUUUUCAUUAGGUCAUGGGUUUUCAAUAUCCAAAACUCCCUUAUGUUAAAUGUUCACAAAAGCUAGGUGAACAAUCACUAAGCAUUUCCAAAGUAGUUGAGAAGAGGGUCUCCUUUAAAAGAUUGAAUUCAAUUUAUCAAAAUCUUGAAUUAAAAGCCCAAAGUCACUAAAUUUUUGAAGUUGCAGGAAACCAGUGAAGAAGGUUGGAAAGAACGAGCAUCACUUGUAAAAGAAAAGAGAUUCAGCUAGCUCUGGAAAAAGGUGCUCAAUCUUAUUAGAAUUCGGAUACAAUAUGCAAAGACAAAGUCAGAUUGUAUCACCAAAAAUGAUAGAAAUUUUGUUCCCAGAGAAAAGAAGAAUAUUUUCUCAGGUUAAAUUAGAUUUCAUGAAGUCGCUGAUACUCAAGUGACAAAGUGGAUAUUAAGCAAAGGACAAUGAGCUAUGAUGGGAACAUAUGAACCCUUCUACUUGCAUUUGAUAUGGAUAACAGAGUGGAUGAGGCCGGAUCGUUGUGGAACAUGGUUUUACAUACACACAAUCAUUCUAUCUCAAAGCGGUUAUUUUCUAGGAACUAUAGGUGAACGAUUCAAUUAGAUCGUGGGAAACCCAUAUUGCAUGGCUCUAGAGGUUCUUAAACGUAAUUAUGGCCCAGAGAGACUGAGCAAGAGUUGGCACAAGCAAUUAUUCGCUCUGCUGUUGACUUUAAGAGGGACCCAUGGCCUAAGGUUUUGGACAAUGCAAAGGACCUUGUAAAGAAAAUGCUUAAUCUUGAUCCAAAGCAGAGUCUUACAACACAAGAAGUGCUUGGGAACCUUCUGUACAUAUUACAUGCUUUAUUUAUGUUGAUAUAUAUUUUCUAAGCAUGAAAAAUCAUCCCAACUAUUGUAUGCAGAACAUUCAUGGCUACAAAAUGCCAAGAAAGCACCCAAUGUUCUAUUAGGUGAGAUUGUGAAAGUUAGGCUCAAACAAUUUUCUGUAAUGAACAAGGUGAAGAAGAGAGCUCUAAGGGUAAUAAUCCAAAUAACUAUUGUAGUUUAUUUGCUUUUAAGUUGCAUGGACCUAUAGUUUCUACAUUUAAGACAAGCAGAAGUUGUUUCUUAAAAGAUACAUGAGCAAAUGGAAAUACAUCCACUUUAAUGGUGAACGUGUUAGAGUAAAAAGAUAUACAUCAGAUAAAGAUUGAUGUUCAAUUUAGUGAGUGCAUUCUCUUGGCAUCAAUGGCAUAAUAUGAGUGUGUAUUUGUUGAACUGGACCUUGCCAAUCAGGUAUUGCAUCAACAAGGCAUCUUACUCACUUUCCUUGAGAUAGGCUACAUACACUUGAAUGCUAUAUGAAUAGUUUAUCAUUUCUGGGGGGUUAUUCCCUGCAUAUAAUUGUAGCUUGGAUGUUGCAAACCUCUUCUUUAAUUUCUAGGGAUAUAUAUGCUGUGAAA